rnacentral:lncRNA from 1 species
ACCAGAAAGAUUCUGUGUCUUGAGAUUUUUGCCUAAGCUAAGGGUAUUUCCUGAGACGUGGGAGGAGAAGCCUACUUAAAGUCAAAUAUAUUGAGUUUGAGCAGUAAACUUUUAUUUAUUCAGACUGAGUAAGACAUCACAAGUGGCAAAUGGUGGCUGAAUGACUUCCCUCUGACUCAGUUUCCCAUCUGCAAAAUGGAAAGGGUGCUAAAUUAUUGUCAAAGCAAUUGGAACAUGACUUACAAGAAGAAAAGAAGGGUAACACAUUCAGCUGUUGGAAUACAACACAGAACCAUUGCAACAUCUGAGCACUGUCACAACCUUGAAACAGCCAGAAAGCUCCGUGGUGCCUUCUGAACCGUCUCUUAGAAAUGAAUAUUUCUUGAGGUAAUGUUUCUCAGGGAAGGCUAAGAGUUUUAUUUUAGAACAAAGAGAAACUUUCUCAUGCUCUGAAUAAGAGCUUUUCUGGUGUGAGAUUUUACUUUUGAUUAAAAAAUGCAUUCAUGAGGAACUUUAAAGGCAGUACAUCAGCAUUUGCCACAUGGAUGAACUCAUGAGAAUCAUUUGCAAAUAUAUAUCAGGUAAUAUUUAAUGUGUGUCUUAAAAACUUCCUUGCUCUGCCUGUAACUUUUUCUCCUCACUUUCACCUGCUUAAAGCUUUCUUUUUUUCUUUUUUCUUUUUUUUUGCUGCUGGUGCAAGCUUCAGGGAUUUAUCGUGUUCCAAGCCUCAGCUGCAGACAGGUGACAACACAAGUAAGUAAGUACCAUUUUCAACUCAGCUCUGCUAGCAGCUUUAUGAAAGCUUAGU